rnacentral:lncRNA from 1 species
ACAGAUUCGGGGAUAACGCCGGAGAGGUUAUUCUUGGAAACGUCCACUUCAGAAACGUUUGGAAUUUUUCCGAGUUGAGAAGGUAUGGUGCCAUUUAUGAAGUUAUGGCUUAAAUCAAGUUGUCUCAGAUGUAUAAGGUUGCCUAUCUCCGAUGGAAUGCUUCCGCUUAAACUGUUGUGGUUUACUGCCAAGUUCUGUAACUGCGAGCAAUUCAUGAGUUCUGGAGGAAUGGAGCUGUUGAGCUGAUUAUAACCAAGAUUCAAAGAGGUGAGGUUGGUUAAAUAACCAAUUGUUGGAGGAAUGGGUCCAAUUAGGUUGUUCCUAUCAAGAGACAGAGAAUCAAGAUACUUCAGAUUUCCGACUUCUCGAGGCAGCAGACCACUUAGUUGGUUUGAAGAAAGAUCUAGAGAUGUUAAGUAGGUUAAAUUUCCUAUGGUCGGUGGAAUUGGACCAUCAAGUCUGUUGUGAGACAAGCGCAACUCAUCCAACAAGUUUAAAAAACCAAUGGUCGAAGGAAUAGGUCCAGUGAGAUUGUUCCUAUUUAGAAGCAGAGAAUCAAGAUUCUUCAGAUUUCCAACUUCUUUAGGCAGUGGACCAACAAGAUUGUUGUAAGCCAAGUACAAAGUACUUAACUGAUUUAAAUGAUAAAGCGUUGAAGGAAUAGGCCCAGUUAGAUUGUUAUUAUCCAGAAACAGAGACACAAGAUUCUUCAGAUUUCCAACUUCUUGAGGCAGCCGACCACUAAGUUGGUUUAAAGAAAGGUCCAAAUGUGUCAAGUUAGUUAAAUUACCUAUGGUCGAUGGAAUUAGACCAUCCAGUUUGUUGCCCUGCAACCUCAGGUCAUAAAGAUCCUUCAAAUUCCCAAAUUCUAAUGGGAUAGAACCAUUGAGAAUGUUAUAAGACAGAUUCAGUUCGAGAAGAUCCCUCAAACUCCCGAUCUCUGAAGGGAUAGUACCUAUCAUAUAUAUAUAUAUACAUGCAAAUGAUUAAUUAAUGAUAAAUGAGCAAUAUUAUCCAGUACCGAUAGGAAAUUAUUGUAUAUGCAAUGAAAUUAUAUAUAAUAGUUACCUGUAAGACGGUUAUAGGACAGGUCAAGCACUUUGAGUCUUGAAAGAGCACCAAUUUCUGAUGGUAUCCUUCCGGAGAGAAAACGAGUGCCCCAAAUUCUGAAAGUUACGAGGUUGGGAAAGCAAGUGAAGUUGAGUUGGCUAAGCUCUGCUGCGUUGCCAUUAUUAUCCAUCUCGUCAGAACUUAUCUCAACUAUGCUUCCUGCUGAAUUGCAAGUGAUUCCCAUCCACUUGCAAUGAUCUGAAGUAUAGUUGGCCGUCGCCCGACUGCUAUUCCACCAGCCUGAAUUAAGUAAAGCUUCCCUUUCUAACUGUAAGGCUGACGAUGCAUCAGAUGCUGUUAGAACUGCAUUAUCAGUUAUAACAGGAACAAUAAUACUGCUUAUAAAAGUUAUAAUGACCACCAAUUUUGAAAUGGAGAAAUCCGGUGCCAUUUUUGUAAGUUUUUGGUUGAUUAGAUUCAGCGGGUGCAUGCCUGCUUUUAUAACUAAACAUUAAGUUUGACAGCAACACUCAAUCAUUUUUAGCCCGCGUUGAGCUUUCUCCCUCAUCGUCAAAAUUGGCAUGCGCGUUAUCAAACACAAGAGUCAGUUGAGUUAAUGUCUUUUUAGGCCACUAAUUCCUAUUUUUAAUUAAUUUCGCAAAGUAAAGGCUACAUGUGAUUCAUAUUCUAGCAACUUUCUAUUUCUUUCUUUACUUUUUAGUCCACUUUCCAUUCUCCCAAUUACUUUUCUAGAAUGGAGGAUUAUAUAUAUUCUAGUAACUUUCUUUUUCUUUCUUUUCCUUUUGGUACAUACUUUAUGCCCGAAUUUAGACCCCGACCGAAUUCCACCAAAUUGUUUUUGUUCUUUUCUUUUUUGUAAUUUUUUUUUUCGCCUUUAUAUGGGUUCAUUUGGGAUUUAUGUUCGGGGCGUAUAGGCAUAGCAUUGCUCUUUACUUUGUGUCCACUUUCCUUCAUCAUCAAAAUAUUCGAUAAUGUCGGGAAAUAUUAAAAUUUGUUCUUAAUUAACAAAGAAUUAAGCCGACUACCAUAUUUCGCCAAAAGUCAAAGGAAAAAUUUCCAUUCUCCGGUACAACAUAUUCUAUAAUUUAUAGUAAUUGUCUAUUUGGUAAUGCGAACGGUUAUUUACACUAAGCAAUAUUUUGAAUAUUUUGAGACCCAAGUCAUACUCAAUGCUAAAAAUAAAAUAAAUAUUUUUUCUUCGUACAGAAAAAAAUAUAAAUUACCAACAUGUGAUAGGAGUUCAUCGAUACUUAUAUCAUUAUCAUCAUCCAAACCUAUAUUUGCAUCGUCAAUUUGUCGAUCUAGAAAUGAGACUAGUACCUAUGUGCUUAAUAAAAAAAAUUAUUAAAAAAAUAUUACCUUUCAAGUAAUACAUUAUUUUGUUGUGUAUUAUAUACUAAAUCAAUGAUGUAUUCUAAAUAGAUGUUCACCCUCAAGUGGUAUCAGAUAUCUACAUCUAAAAUGAUGUGUCUUAAAAUUUAAUGAGAAAAAUAUACAUAUAUUCUAAGGUUUGGGGAAAUAACAUGCAUGAACCUUACCAUAUAAUAUAACUUUAUGAUCGCAUUUUGGUGGAUAUUAUGUAAUUCAUUAACUUUGUUGUCUAUUAUAUACUAUAUUAAUGAUGAAUUCUAACUAGAUGAAAUUCACUCCCAAGUAGUGUCUGAUAUGGCCAUAUCCAUGUGUCCUAUAACUUUACUGAAACAAAUUUUGGGGAAUUUAAGAAUCUUUUUCUUUUUAUAUUUAGGAAAAUUAAUAAUUCGAAGUAGCUGCCAUUUUAGUUGUGUUUAAAAUUGAUUGUCUUAAAAAUUUGGAAAAUAUAUGGGAAAAUUUUCAAAAUGAUAAAAGGGAUAAUGUAGACUGACACGUUUAAACAUGUGAACUCAUUAGUCGCCAAUUAUUUGAAACGCACGGCCAGGGGAUGCCGGGUGAUUAAACACGUGAGUAGAAAACUUUUCAGGUCACUGGCUUUUUCUGAGCCGACCACAAAUUAAAGCAAAAUUGGAGUCAAGGUCUUGCAGACAAGGAAAAGAAGACGUGUGUGUACUGCGAGUUCACAUUUGAGGGUUGACUGACAAAUUUGUCCCUUGUCAAGCUCGUCAAAGAAGCACCUAUAAAUUUCACUUGAGAAUAUAUAUAUUUUAUAUUUAUCCAAAGUGAAGGAUUUAAUUAAACAAAAUUCAGUCUCACGAAUGUUAAUAUACCGAAAAAAGUUAUACAAAAACCACUAUCAAAAUUUUGGAUAAUCUUGAGAAAUUUUAAAAUUUGUUCUUAAUUAACAAAGAAUUACGCCCAAUACCAUAUUUCGCCAAAUCUCAAAGGAAAAUUUUCCACUUUUCCGGUACAAUAUUUUCUAUAAUUUACGGUAAUUAUUAAUUGGUAAUGCCAAUGGUUUUUUACACUAAACAAUAUUUUCAGACCCAAGUCAUACACAAUGCUAAAACCAAAGUAAAUAUUUUUUUUUCAUUUGUACAGAAAAAAUAUAAAUUACCAAGUUCAUCAAUACUUAUUUCAUUUAUCAUCAUCCGAAUCUAUAUUUGCAUCAUCAAUUGUCGAUCUACAAAAGAGAAAUCAAAGAUGUUAAAAAUAUUUCUAAUAAUAAGAUAAAAAUUAAAUAUAAAGACUAGUACCUAGGUGUUUGAAUUAAAAAUAAUAAUCAUUAAAAAAUAUUACCUUUCAAGUAGUACAUAAUUUUAUUGUGUAUUAUAUACUACGUUAAUGAUGUAUUCCAAAUAGAUGAAACUCAUUCCCAAGUUGUGUCCAAUAUGGUGAUAUCCUUGUGUCUUACAAUUCCCAUAGGAUGCUAGAGCCAUAUGGAAGCAUAUAGAAGAUUGAUUGGUCGUGAUUAUUAACACUUUUGAAGGUUUAUUCUAUAUACAUGAUCAGCUGAACUUGUUCUCUUUAAUUUUCAUAAAUGCAUUGACACAGUUUUUACUUUUUGAUCAUUGGAUAUCCCUGACUUUAAGUUCAUCGAAUUCUAAACUAGGGAAUGCUGUUUGACUUACAACCAUAAUAGUUAGGAAGGUUAUAACUAGAUGGUCACAAUGGUUUUCAAUCACCGAUUGCUUUCUUACGGAACAGAAAAGAAAGGAAAGAUCAUAACUUCUCCCUCACCACCUUGUGUUAAUUGUCACUACUUAUUGUGGUUUAUUUUAUUUUUCAAAUCACAUUUGGUGACGGUUUCCAAUUCCACCAGCCGCAGAAAUCAAGUUGUAAUUCUAUUGUUUACAGAAUUUCAUUUCUGUUUACCAUUCAUCCUUGUAAUAUCAUAACAAGCAAUGUCAUACUUUUUACUUUUCAUAUUCUCAAAGUUCUUCAAAUCUUUUUAUUUCAAAUUGAAUGAAACAUUAAUUCUCAUUGGAUAAUCAACAUAUACUUGUCUUAGAGUCCUCAGGUGGACAACUUUUGGGGUUUUGGGUCCUCAUUUGUUGUACUAGUUGGUUCUUGAGGUAAAUAAAUCCAGGAUUCCUGAUAUUGAACAUUCAAUUUUCAUGUCUGAAACUUCCAAUAUCCAAAUUCACUCAUGCAAUACAACUACUCUAUUUUAAAUCAACUAGAUGGUUUCAGAUACAGAUUUUGUAUUUCCAACAUAAAAAAUCAUGCAAGCUUUUGAUACCCAAAAGACCAUGAUUGGAUUUUUUCUUCUCCCCUCCUCUCCCCUGUAUUGUCAAGUCAUCCAUAAAUUUUCUGCAAUGUCAGACUGUGCAAAAGGUAAUUUUAUCAGUGUAAGUGCUUGCAUUGUUCAUUUCUUCAGACAGCCAUUUACUGUGUCCAACAAUUCAUGCUGUGUUCACUAAUUAAAGCAACUACGGGUCAAGGUCAUUUUAAGUCGGGAAAAUGACUAGGGUGGUGUGAAUUCACACAUGAAACUUAAUUGGCAUAUUUGUCACUCGGCAAGCUCAAUGGACCCCUUUCAAAUUCACUUUAGAAUCUUUAUUUAUUCUUUAACCAAAGAUAAGGAUUUAAAUACAAAAAAUUCAGCCUCACGAAAGUUAUACAAAAAGCUAUUAAUGAAAUACAUUCAAGAUUAACAAUCACAUUGAUCAAUCAAAUACAUGCAUUGUUUCAUAAGUUCUGAUAUGGAAAUUUCUUCAACAACAGGUUUUCCCAAUGGUGAUUUCCCUGUGAGAAAUUCUUGAGAUACGCGUUGCAUGGUAGGUCGAGACUUGGGUUUUGACUGCAAGCAUGCAAAUGCAACUAUUGAAACAAGAAUAAUAACCUGAACAACCUUUUGAUCAAGUGGAGAUGGCAGACGUUGGUCUAAAAUAUCUAUCAACCUAAUCUUUCGUUCAGAUGAUGACGAUAAAGAUGAAAGAAGAUCUCCUGGAUGACUUCCCAUUAAUACUUCUAGUGCCACCACUCCAAAGCUAUAAACAUCACAUUUCUCUGUCACAGCCAUGGUGUAUGCAAGUUCUACAACAAAAUAGAACCCAUUGUAGAAUUUCUUUGCACAAGCAAAAAACAAAAUAUAUAUAUAUUUGAUUCACUGUUUCUGGAAGCUUCUGCAGCAAGAUAUUUAAGAGAUAUCUAAUUGAUUUUUAAAUACAUUCAAUGUGUAAACAUGAGUAAGAAGCAUGAAAAGAAUAGCUAAAGUUUACCUGGAGCAAUAUAUCCAUAUGUCCCCACCACUAGAGUUCUGUUGGAGGAAUCUGGAUGCAGGAGCCUAGCCAAACCAAAAUCAGCAACAAAUGCCUCUAGGUUUGAGUUAAGUAGAAUGUUAUUGCUGGAUAUGUCGCGGUGAACAAUUGAUGGCUUGCAGUCAUAAUGCAGGUAAGACAAAGCAUGAGCCAUACUCUUUACAAUGUUCACUCUCUUUGUCCAAUCCAGCUCAACAGCUUCAACGUCAUUGCGUAACACACAGAACAAGCUUCCCCGCUCCAUGUACUCAUAGAUCAAAAACAUGCACUUGUUGUGCAAACAAAAACCAUAAAGCUUCACUAUAUUACGAUGCCGUAUUUGGGAGAGUAGACGAGCUUCAGUUUGGAAACUUUCCAGGAAAGCUGGCUCCUCUGUCUCCGAACGGUGAAGUUUCUUCAAAGCGACUACUCUUCCACUGGACAAUUGUGCUCUGUAAACACUGCCAUAACCUCCGGUUCCAAUGCAAUAUUUGAUGUGGAAAUCCUCUGUCGCUUGAAUCAUCUCUUCAAAUGUAAUUCUACCAUCAUAAUUCCAUAUGGAGAACUCAUUAGCCCCCUCGGUCAUUUCUCGGGUAUUAGGAUUAAAUUUCUUAUCCUUUCGUCUAUGGACAAACAAGAUACCAAAAAUUAAGAUUGCGAAAAUAAAUGCCACCAUAGCGAGAAUGAUUGUGACCAAGCGAGUGACGAUCUUUUGCUGCUUCCCUUUGUUGCCCUUAAACUGUUUUGCUUGGGGUGGCGGUGCAUUUUCUGAACCAGUUGAGUUUUCUAACUCUAGAUUAUUUUCUGACACUAUCAAUUUGGGAAUUCUUCUGACAGAUGCAGGGAUAACGCCGGAGAGGUUAUUCUUGGAAAGAUCCACGGCAGAAAUGUUUGGAAUUUUUCCGAGUUGUGAAGGUAUCGUGCCAUUUAUGAAGUUACGGCUUAAAUCAAGUUGUCUCAAAAAUAUAAGGUUGCCUAUCUCCGAUGGAAUGCUUCCGCUUAAACUGUUGUGGCUUAAUACCAAGUUCAGUAACUGCGAGCAAUUCAUGAGUUCUGGAGGAAUGGAGCUGCUGAGCUGAUUAUAACCAAGAUUUAAAGAGGUGAGGUUGGUUAAAUAACCAAUUGUUGGAGGAAUGGGUCCAAUUAGAUUGUUCCCGUCAAGGGACAGAGAAUCAAGAUACUUCAGAUUUCCAACUUCCCGAGGCAGCAGACCACUAAGUUGGUUUGAAGAAAGAUCCAGAGAUGUUAAUUUGGUUAAAUUUCCUAUGGUCGGUAGAAUUGGACCAUUAAGUCUGUUGUGAGACAAGUCCAACUCAUCCAACAAGUUUAAAUAACCAAUGGUCGAAGGAAUAGAUCCAGUGAGAUUGUUCCUAUUCAGAAGCAAACGAUCAAGAUUCUUCAGAUUUCCAACUUCUUUAGACAGUGGACCAACAAGAUUGUUGUAAGCCAAGUACAAAAUGCUUAACUGAUUUAAAUGAUAAAGUGUUGAAGGAAUAGGCCCAGUUAGAUGGUUAUUAUCCAGAAACAGAGCGUCAAGAUUCUUCAGAUUUCCAACUUCUUGAGGCAGCCGACCACUAAGUUGGUUUAAAGAAAGGUCCAAAUGUGUCAAGUUAGUUAAAUUACCUAUGCUCGAUGGAAUUAGACCAUCCAGUUUGUUACCCUGCAACCUCAGUUCAUCAAGAUCCUUCAAAUUCCCAAAUUCUAAUGGGAUAGAACCAUUGAGAAUGUUAUUAGACAGAUCCAGUUUGAGAAGAUUCCUCAAACUCCCAAUCUCCGCGGGGAUAGUACCUAUCGUGUGUAUAUAUAUGCAUAUGAUUAAUUAACGAUAAAUAAGCAAUAAUAUCCGGUACAGAUAGGAAAUUAUUGUAUAUGCAAUGAAAUUAUAUAUAAUGGUUACCUGUAAGACUGUUAUCGGACAGGAAAAGCUCCUCGAGUUUUGAAAGAGCACCAAUUUCUGAUGGCAUCCUUCCUGAAGAAAAAAAGGAAAACAAAAAUAAUGUGUAUGAUUAAUUAAUGAUAAAUGAGCAAUAUUAUCCAGCACCGAUAGGAAAUUAUUGUAUAUGCAAUGAAAUUAUAUAUAAUGGUUACCUGUAAGACUGUUAUAGGACAAGUGAAGCUCCUCGAGUUUUGAAAGAGCACCAAUUUCUGAUGGCAUCCUUCCUAACGAAAAAAAGGAAAAAAAAUAAUGUGUAUGAUUAAUUAAGGAUAAAUGAGCAAUAUUAUCCAGUACGGCUAGGAAAAUAAUGUGUAUGCAUUGAAAUUAUAUAUAAUAGUUACCUGUAAGACGGUUAGAGGACAGGUCAAGCACUUUGAGUCUUGAAAGAGCACCAAUUUCUGAUGGUAUCCUUCCGGAAAGAAGAGUGCCCCGAAUGCUGAAAGUUACGAGGUUGGGAAAGCAAGUGAAGUUGAGUUGGCUAAGCUCUGCUCCGGUGAAAUUAUUAUCCAUCUCGUCAGAACUUAUCCAGACUACGCUUCCUGCUGAAUUGCAAGUGAUUCCUAUCCACUUGCAAUGAUCUGAAGUAUAGUUGGCCGUCGCCCGACUGCUAUUCCACCAGCCUGAAUUAAGUAAAGCUUCCCUUUCUAACUGUAUGGCUGACGAUGCAGCAGAUGCUGUUACAACUGCAUUAUCAGUUAUAACAGGAACAAUAAUACUGCUUAUAAAAGUUAUAAUGACCACCAAUUUUGAAAUGGAGGAAUCCGGUGCCAUUUUUAUAAGUUUUUGGUUGAUUAGAUUCAGCCAGUGCGUGCCUGCUUUUAUAACCAAACAUUAAGUUUGACGGCAACACUCAAUCAUUUUUAGCCCGCGUUGAGCUUUCUCCCUCAUCGUCAAAAUUGGCAUACGCGUUAUCAAACACGAGGGUCAGUUGAGUUAAUGUCUUUUUAGGCCACUAAUUCCUAUUUCUAAUUAAUUUCGCAAAUUAAAGGCUACAUGUGAUUCAUUAAUUUUGUUGGCAUACGCGUUCUAAAUAGAUGAAAGUCACUCCCAAGUAGUGUAUGAUAUGCCGAUAUCCAUGUGUCUUAUAACUUUACUGAAAUAAAUUUUGGGGAGUUUAAGUAUCUUUUUCUUUUAUAUUGAUGAGAAUUAAUAAUUCAAACUAGCUGUCAUUUUAGUUGUGUUUAAAAUUAAUUGUCUUAAGAAUUUGGAAAAUAUAUGGAAUGCCGUGUGAUUAAACACGUGAGUAGAAAACUUUUCAGGUCACUGGCUUUUUCUGAGGCGACCAUAAAUUAAAGCAAAAUUGGAGUCAAGGUCUUGUAGACAAGGAAAAGAAGACGCGUGUACUGCGAGUUCACAUUUGAGGGUUGAUUGACAUAUUUGUCCCUUAUCAUGCUCGUCAAAGAAACACCUAUAAAUUUCACUUGAGAAUAUAUAUAUUUUAUAUUUAUCCAAAGUAAAGGAUUUAAUUCAACAAAAUUCAGUCUCACGAAUAUUAAUAUACGGAAAAAAGUUAUACAAAAACCACUAUCAAAAUUUUGGAUAAUCUUGAGAAAUUUUAAAAUUUUUUCUUAAUUAACAAAGAAUUAUUCCCAAUACCAUAUUUCGCCAAAUCUCAAAAGGAAAAUUUUCCACUUUUUCAGUACAAUAUUUUCUAUAAUUUACGGUAAUUAUCUAUUGAUAAUGCCAAUGGUUUUUUACACUAAACAAUAUUUUCAGACCCAAGUCAUACACAAUGCUAAAACGAAAGUAAAUAUUUUUUUUUCAUUCGUACGGAAAAAUAUAAAAUACCAAGUUUAUCAAUACUUAUAUCAUUUAUCAUCAUCCGAAGCUGUAUUUGCAUCAUCAAUUGUCAAUCUACAAAAGAGAAAUCAAAGAUGUUAAAAAUAUUUCUAAUAAUAAAAUAAAUAAUUAAAUAUAAAGACUAGAAUCUAGGUGUUUGAAUUAAAAAAAAAUUAUUAAAAAAAAUUACCUUUCAAGUAGUACAUAAUUUUGUUGUAUAUUAUAUACUAAUACUACGUUAAUGAUGUAUUCUAAAUAGUUGAAGUUCACUCUCAAAUGGUGUUUGAUAUCUACAUCUGAAUGACACGCAUGAACCUUGCCUUGCAGCGUAACCUCGUGAUUGCAUUUUGCUGGAUAUUUUAAAAUAAAUUAAUUUCGUUGUCUAUUAUAUACUAUAUUAAUAGAUGAAACUCACUCUCAAGUAGUGUCCAAUACGGCGAUGUCCAUGUGCCUUACAAUUUCACUGAAACAAAUUUUGGGGAGGUUUUAAGUUCCUUUUUCGUUUAUAUUUAUAUUUAUGAGAAUUAAUAAUUCUAACCAGCUGUCAUUUUAGUUGUGUUUAAAAUUUGAUGUUUCAAAAAUCUGGAAAAAUAGAUGGAAGAAUUUUCAGAUGAUACCCCCCGUCAAAGGGAUAAUGUAGACUGACACGUUUAAACAUUUGAACUCGUCAGUCGCCAAUUACCUGAAACCCACGGCCACGUCUAUUAGACAAUUUAAAAAAAAAAAAUUGUGUACUGCAGAUACUAAUGAAAUUCAAAGGACCACCAAUUAAUUCAGGUUAGAAAAGUUUUUUUUUUUUUUAAAUUACAAGACAAGGAUUUAAUCAAACAAAAUUCAGUCUGAAAAAAAUUAUACAAACUACUAUCAGCAAAAUACAUUCAAGAUUAACAAUCACAUUAAUUUUAAUCUAGCAUCUUUUUCUUUUUCCUCCUUUCUCUUUUUCCGUCUUUACUUUUUAGUCCGCUUUCCUUUCUCCAAAUUACUUUUCUUCAUUUUCCACAGAACACAUAAAAAAAUUGGACCAUCUUGAGAGUCCAGAAAUAUUAAAUUUUUGGAAUCCACAAAAAAUUAAAUAUUUUUGUCAUAAUGUUGUAGACUUUUGUUCUUCUAUCAUUUUCACAAAUUUAUUGAGAAGGCCAAGUACCACCAUAUUUAAUCAAAAGUCAUAAAGAAUUUUUUUAUAUAUUUUAUUAUGCAAAAAGGACUACUGUUCCUAAAAAUUUAACCGAGUGACUUUUUAAUUAUUUUAUUUAACUGAUUAUCCAAGUUCGAAUAUUUCUAGAUGACUCUUAACCCUAAAACCAGAUGUGGGCUAUUCACAUCCCCCAUCUGUCCAUUGAAAAGGGCAAAUUUUGUUUUCAACUAAGCAGCCCCUUUGUGGCUUGUAUCGAUGUACGUUUAACAUUGUCGCUCUAAUUUGAUCCUAAUAUGCGCUAAUGCAAAACGAUAUGCAUUGGAACUCUGUGAACUUACAGUAACAAUUUGUUUAAACUUAUGCAGACUACUUAACUAACCAGUCAAAUAGAGUGUCAAAUAAAAUUUUAAUAUUUGGUUAAGAGACCAAAAGAGUUCAUAAAUAUUGUUUUUUUUUUACCAAUUAAGAAGAUUAAAAUGAAUGGCAUAUUUUGCACAGAAUUAAUAUGCUUAUUCAAAUUUAACAAUAUAGUGGGCUUUUUCAAAUUUCAAAUGUGUAGAUGGGGCUAAAUGCCUAAACCACAACUUUCCUUAUUAUUUUCAUUGAAUCAUCAGAGCUCUGAACAAAUUUGAAAAUAUUUUCUGAGUCUCUUCUUCAUCAUUUAGUUUAUACUUCAACUGACCAUUAGAAGCCAUUCAGUUUCUGUACGAUCAUGCAAAAGGGUUAGAAAGUAAUUACAAUCAAUAUUUGUGUACUUCAGAAUUUGAACCUUAAUGAGCAAUUAACCAAGAGUUGUUAAUUUCUCUUCCUUUCCAAAAUUCUGUUAGAAUUGUCAAUUGUUACGGCAUAUGGGUGUAAAGAUUUUCUGAUAAUAAAAGUUAAAAUUAUGGGGUGGGUUUUUAUAAGAAUUUUGGAGGGGUGUAAGAAGCCCCACUCUAGUCAUAAAUGAAGCCAUGACUUGGAGUAAUGGAAUACAGAGCCCAUUAACCCUAAAGGCCUUAAACUAACCCAAGAUGCUUUAAAGUGAUAAUUAAGAUGUGAGACAAGCUCGCUCUAUCACUAAAGCAUGUUUGGUUUAUUAUACGUUGUAAGCCCAUCAAUUUUUGAAGUUGUUUACUAUUGCAUUUCAUCUAAAACCUGUAUUUGGUUUAUUAUACGUUGUUUUCAAAGUCGUUGACAAUCAACGGGGCAAUACCGAAAUAGAUAGUCCUAGCCGCCUAGGCGCGCGCGCGCAAAAGAAAAAAAAAGGAUAAUGUAUUACAAAAUCACUGAUGCAUGGAAGAUCCUAGUUUUGUAGUGAGAGUAAAAGAAUUGAGCUUGAAACUAUUUUUUUGUUGAUAUUUUUAAUGAAACGCUUCGAAGAAAACAUAGAUGGAGGGAAGCAAAAUGGUUGAAGUAAGCAAGCUGUGUAGUGAGAACUGGAGGCACAUCAAGCAUGAAUAGAAUGUGUGUGUGUGUUAAUAAAGCGAGGAUUGAUUCAGGCUAGCAAAAGUAUUCUUCAUAGUCAUUGUCAGUGUAGUGUAGUAUGCCUUUAUUCUUAACUAGAUUUUAGUCCUUAUCUCCCCCAAGAUUCAACCGCAGGUGGCUAGUUAUAGAAAGUUAUUUAAAAAUCACUCAGACAAACUUCUAGUGAUAAUUGAACUUAAAUUUAACUUUAAUAUCUUAUUAGAAAAGUUCAAUACGGCUUUAAUAGAGUGGAAAACGUUUAUUUUCCCCCAGGAAAAAUGUAUAAUAAGUUCUUUUACAUAGACUCCAUAACCAAAUUAGACAAGUAAAUAAUCAAUUACGGAAUUAAGAGCUUGGUUUAACAAGGUCAGCAUGAAGAAACUACAAAUUUGAGGCUAAAAAUCUAGAAAUGGAGGCCAAAACAUAAGAUUUUCAAAGAAUGACCAGAUUUCAAUUAGAUCCCAGGGAACAUUAACCCAGUUUACUGCUUAUUGUAGACCUCUUUGUUUACAUGAAUUAAUGUUUAAUAGCCUUUAGGAUCUCAAGCCUGACCCUUACAACUACAUAUGAAUUCAUUUAAUUAACAAUCUGUACGUAUUAGCAGCUAGUGAAGUAGAAAAUGCCCGUGACUAGUGCUUUAGUUUCUUUAAAAUCCGGAGACAAAGAGUUGUUCUGAGUAUUUUAUAAUUUUUUUUUUUUCACAUGAGACACCAUUCAAGACAAUGUCCAUGUGGUGUGAAGGCCAAAAUCCCCCGUGAACCUGGCAAUUAUUGUCUUUUUUAGCAUUUUAAUAUAAUCAGUUUGUAUUUAAAUUACUAUUUGAUCGAUUAAAAUUUGAAUAAUUUUACAGCUACCCUAACACAGGAGUGUUUGAAAUAUUUGGUAAUCAAGUUAUACCAAGUGCAGCUCAAGUUCUUACAUUAAUCAAGUGAGCAGAAUUUCUGUGCAGAAGGGGCAUCUUUGGGAAUUAAACUGUACUGCAUGAGAUCGAAUUAAUUUUCGAACCAUACAUCAUUGGAAAGAUAUUUCUGUUAGCUUUCCAAUGAAUUUUACUAAUCUAAAUUUGGAGUUUUCUACAGUAAGUUAUGAUCAGUUAAGUGCAGACUGUUCAGUUUUGAGUCAAGAAGAAUAUUUCGGGACUUAGAUUUUUUUAAUGUUCUUUGUUGUGUUUUAAGCAUACCAAUGUUUUAUUAAUGUCUAGCUUUAAUGUUGGUCUUUAAAGUCAAGUUAUUUGAAGGGUUUCUUUGUAGUAAAUCUAUGCUUGGAGGAUUGUUCCAAGAAAGUUAUUUAAGCUUAUGUAGUUGUAACAAAAAGACAGAGAUUAAUUUUGGAAAUUGAAUGAACUUUGAGCUAUUAUCAAACUCUGUAUCUCUUUGGUGGAUUCCAUUGAGUGGUGAGUGUUUUAAGCUCUGUAUCCGUAGCUUAACAACUUUAGGUGGUGAAUAUUUUUCUGUAUCCUUUUGUUGUUUGCUGUGGUGGUGAGCUUGUGAUUUCUUGAGUGUGUGACGUUGUGCUUUCUCAUCUAUUGUGUCCGGUGUCAAAUUUGGUAUCAGAGCAUUGGGUUCUGAAAUUUAUGGCUCAACGACGUCAGCGUAAUGCAAGAGUUGCAGAGCCUCCUGUUCGUGAGAGGGACUUGGGUGAUAUAGAAAGGGAUGAUCUUAGAAGACAAGUAGAACAUCUUCAGCAACGAUUACAACACCUUGAAGGAACUCAAGAAGCUGCUCCUAAUGGUAGUUCAGAAGAAGAAGGCUCAAUCAAUGACGGGGUAGAUUAUAAUCCCUUCCAUCAGGAACAAAGCUCCAAUAGUGAAUUUUCUUCUCGUUCUCGAAUUCAUAGGCAUCGCGAUUCUUAUCAGCCUUUCGACUUCAAGGUCGAAAUUCCUGAAUUUGAAGGAAGAAUGCAACCAGACGAGUUUGUUGAUUGGCUUAAUACUGUUGAACGCAUUUUUGAAUACAGAGAUGUGCCUGAAGAUCGCAAAGUGAAACUCAUUGCCAUUAAACUUAAAAAGUAUAUGCUUCUUUAUGGUGGGAAAAUCUUAAGAGGCAAAGGGAACGAGAGGGACGGAGGAAAAUUGUUACUUGGGAGAAAAUGAAAAAAGAGCUUAAGAGAAAGUUUUUGCCCGAUAACUACAGGCAAGAUAUCUACCUUAAGUUCCACAACUUCAGGCAAAAGGAAUUGUCAGUGGAAGACUAUACAGCAGAGUUCGACAACCUAAUGAUGAAGUGUGAUUUGGUAGAGGCGGAAGAGCAUACGAUUGCACGCUAUCUGGGUGGUUUGAAACCUGAGAUUGGUAAUGUGGUCCAGCUCCAACCAUAUUGGACUUAUAGUGAUGUAUGCAGACUUGCUCUUAAGGUGGAAAAGCAACAAAAAGAUGCUCGUGGUGGGGGUAUUCGGUUUACAGUUCGUGAUGUCAAUCGAGGGAGUGGCUCCGUUUCUAAGCAUAAUUCUGGUUCGAAUUCUACUGCAAAGAAAAUUACGAGGAAUGAUAUUGGGGAAGGAUCUAAACAGCGAGCAAGUGGUUCGAAUGCUAGUUCUCGUCAAUGUUUUAAAUGCCAUGGUUAUGGGCACAUUGCUUCUGAGUGUCCUAAUCGUAGGGUGGUUGCCCUUGUUGAAGAGGAAAGCGAUGACGAGGAUGCGGAAGAUCAUGAGAAUCCUAGUGUCGAAAAGGGUGUUGAAGAUGGAGAAGUUACAUAUGCUGAUGAUGGAAACUCUCUAGUUAUUCAAAAGAGUUUGAGUAUUGUUUGUGAAUAUGGGGAAGAUUGGCUGAGAAAGAAUAUCUUUCACACCAGAUGCACUUGUCAUGGAAAGAUAUGUAAUGUCAUUAUUGAUAGUGGUAGUUUUGAGAAUGUGGUAGCAACUGAAAUGGUGAAGAAGUUGAAGCUCAAAACGGAGCAGCAUCCUUAGCCUUAUAAACUUUCUUGGCUUAAAAAGGGAAAUGAGAUUGAGGUAAACACACGUUGCCUUAUUUCAUUUUCUAUUGGGAAUAAAUAUAAAGAUGAAGUUUGGUGCGAUGUUGUCCCUAUGGAUGCAUGUCACUUGCUUUUAGGUCGUCCUUGGCAGUACGAUAGAAGGGUUGUUCAUGAUGGUUAUAGGAAUACUUAUACUUUCAUUAAAGAUGGAAGUAAAGUCAUUAUUGGUCCUUCAAAGGAAGAGAAAAGUCCCAAACCUAUUAAAGGAGUGGAAAACAAUUUGCUGAAUGUUUCAGAUUGUAAAAAAGAAUUUGAAAUGGGUAGUGAAGUUUACGUGCUGGUGGUGUUUGAGGAAAAUGAAGAUAGCAAUGAGCCGCCUCUGAUUAUGAAGUAUUUGCUUGAAGAAUUCUCAGAUGUUGUUCCAGAAGAAUUACCACAUGGCCUUCCUCCCAUGAGGGACAUUCAACAUUGCAUUGAUCUUAUUCCGGGUUCUGUACUACCAAAUAAAGCGGCUUAUCGAAUGAAUCCAAAGGAGCACGAAGAAUUAUAGAGGCAAGUUGAAGAGCUUAUAGGGAAAGGGUUGGUGAGAGAUAGCAAAAGUCCUUGUGCUGUUCCUGCCUUAUUGGUACCAAAGAAAGAUGGGUCUUGGCGUAUGUGUGUUGACAGCAGAGCAGUGAAUAAGAUAACGAUUGAUUAUCGUUUCCCUAUUCCACGCCUUGACGAUCUUCUAGACCAGCUCUAUGGUGCUACAAUCUUUUCUAAGAUCGAUCUUCGAAGUGGCUAUCAUCAAAUCAGAAUGAGACCUGGUGACGAAUGGAAAACGGCCUUCAAAACGAGGGAUGGACUUUAUGAAUGGAUGGUUAUGCCAUUUGGUCUAUCUAAUGCCCCAAGCACUUUCAUGCGGUUGAUGAAUCACGUUUUUAAGCCUCUGAUUGGUAGAUUUGUUGUUGUGUAUUUUAAUGAUAUCCUUGUGUACAACCAAAAUGAAAAACAACACUUGGAGCAUCUUUGCCAAGUCUUCGAGAUUUUGAGAAAUCAAAAGCUUUAUGUCAACUUGAAAAAGUGCAGGUUCUUCACAUAUAGCCUUGUCUUUUUGGGUUAUGUUGUAUCGAAAGAUGGAAUUAAAAUGGAUCCAAGCAAGGUGGAGGCCAUUUUGAGCUGGCCAAUUCCUAAGUCGCUACAUGACAUCUGAAGUUUUCAUGGUCUUGCUUCUUUUUAUCGACGAUUUAUUAGAGGGUUCAGUAUAAUUGUUGCUCCAGUAACUGAAUGCUUGAAAGGAGAAGGUUUCAAAUGGACCAAGGAGGCACAAGAGAGUUUUGACAUCAUCAAGAGAAAGGUGACUGAAGCGCCUGUUCUUUCACUUCCAGAUUUCAGCAAGGUGUUUGAAGUUGAGUGUGAUGCCUCUAAUACUGGAAUUGGUGCUGUACUCAGCCAAGAAAGGAAACCAGUUGCUUUCUUUAGUGAAAAAUUGAAUGACUCCCGCAGAAAGUACUCAACUUAUGACAAAGAAUUGUAUGCUAUUUGCCGAGCUUUGAACCAUUGGAGUCAAUAUUUGCUUUCAAGGCCAUUUAUUCUCUUCUCUGACCAUGAGGCACUAAAGUUUAUCAAUAGUCAGCAGAAGCUUAGUAGAAAACAUGCCGGAUGGGUGGAAUUUCUUCAAGCUUACAAUUUUACCAUCAAGCAUAAAUCGGGUGCUCAGAAUGUUGUGGCUGAUGCUUUAAGUCGAAAACAUUCAUUGCUUUCUUCUAUGCAAGUGAAGGUUGUAGGCUUUGAAAUUUUGAAAGAGCUAUACAAGGAUGAUUCUUUCUUUGGCAGGAUUUGGAGAGAAUGUGAGAAUGGAUCAUAUGAUCAGUACCAAUUACAUGAUGGCUUUCUUUUCAAGGGGAAUCGUUUAUGUAUUCCUCAGUGUUCUUUGCGGGAAUCUAUUAUCAUGGAGGCACAUGGCAGUGCUGUUGGAGGUCACUUUGGAAGGGAUAAGACGUUAGCUUGCUUGCAAGGUAAUUUCUAUUGGCCAAAGAUGGAUAAAGAUGUUGUGCAUCAUGUGCAGAGGUGUAAAAUCUGUCAUAUUGCCAAAGCUCAUGGUCAAAACACAGGCCUAUACAAUCCUUUACCAGUCCCUGAAGCUCCUUGGGAAGAUGUUAGUCUAGACUUUGUUGUUGGGUUGCCAAGAACUCAAAGAAAUAAAGACUCUGUCAUGGUGGUGGUUGACCAAUUCUCAAAAAUGGCUCAUUUUGUUCCGUGUAACAAGACAUUGGAUGCCUCUCAUGUGGCUGAUUUGUACUUCAAGGAGAUUGUGAAGCUACAUGGAAUUCCGAAAACCAUUGUCUCUGAUCGGGAUUCAAAGUUUUUGAGUCACUUUUGGCGUACUCUUUGGAAGAAGUUGGGAACCACUCUUAAAUUCAGCUCUUCUCAUCAUCCUCAAACUGACGGUCAGACUAAAGUGAUGAAUCGAAGCUUGGGAAAUCUCUUGAGACGUUAUGUGGGCAAGAACAUUCGUCAAUGGGAUCUUAUUUUGCCUCAGAUUGAAUUUGCUUACAAUCACUCCAUACAUCAAACUACUGGUUCAAGUCCCUUUGAAGUAGUUUAUGGCAAGAAUCCAAUCAGUCCUUUGGAUUUGGCUCCACUUUUGACCGAUCAUCAAUUUAGUGGAGAGGCUGAAGAACGCUCUAAAAGUAUCAAGAAGAUGCAUGAACAGGUUCGAGAUAGAAUAUUGAAGCAAAAUGAGAAGUAUAAAAAAUCUGCAGACAAGCAUCGAAGACAUGCUAAGUUUCAGGAAGGAGAUUUGGUUUGGGUUCAUCUUAGGAAAGAUCGUUUUCCACCUGGGAAAUUUGCUAAACUUAGACCAAGGGCUGAUGGACCAUUUAAAGUGUUGCAACGCAUUGGUGAUAAUGCUUACAAGAUUGAGCUACCAGAUGGCUAUGGUGUUUCGUCAACGUUCAACAUAUCAGACUUGUCUCCUUAUCAUGAAGAAAAUGAUCAAAACUCGAGGUCGAAUUUUUUUCAACUAGGGGAGAUUAACACAGGAGUGUUUGAAAUAUUUGGUAAUCAAGUUAUACCAAGUGCAGCUCAAGUUCUUACAUUAAUCAAGUGAGCAGAAUUUCUGUGCAGAAGGGGCAUCUUUGGGAAUUAAACUGUACUGCAUGAGAUCGAAUUAAUUUUCGAGCCAUACAUCAUUGGAAAUAUAUUUCUGUUAGCUUUCCAAUGAAUUUUACUAAUCUAAAUUUGGAGUUUUCUACAGUAAGUUAUGAUCAGUUAAGUGCAGACUGUUCAGUUUUGAGUCAAGAAGAAUAUUUCGGGACUUAGAUUUUUUUUAAUGUUCUUUGUUGUGUUUUAAGCAUACCAAUGUUUUAUUAAUGUCUAGCUUUAAUGUUGGUCUUUAAAGUCAAGUUAUUUGAAGGGUUUCUUUGUAGUAAAUCUAUGCUUGGAGGAUUGUUCCAAGAAAGUUAUUUAAGCUUAUGUAGUUGUAACAAAAAGACACAGAUUAAUUUUGGAAAUUGAAUGAACUUUGAGCUAUUAUCAAACUCUGUAUCUCUUUGGUGGAUUCCAUUGAGUGGUGAGUGUUUUAAGCUCUGUAUCCGUAGCUUAACAACUUUAGGUGGUGAAUAUUUUUCUGUAUCCUUUUGUUGUUUGCUGUGGUGGUGAGCUUGUGAUUUCUUGAGUGUGUGACGUUGUGCUUUCUCAUCUAUUGUGUCCGGUGUCAUACCCACGUAUUUUUUAACCACAAUUCCCAGCUUCCCUUUUAUAUAUGUCGGCAUCAGCUGAUCAGCAUGAAUUAAGAGUUCAUAACCAAACUGAAAUAGAUAUCCAAAGUUUAGUGUUACUGAGAAAUAUGAGUUCUAGGAUUUAUUUUAUGCUCGUCGCGAUAUUUACUGUCGCUGGAGUUUUUCAAUUUUCCGGCCAAGUUUCCGGCGCACAACACUGUGGAAUGAAUACAAAUGUUCUGGGCCAGCUUGUAUCACAAUGUGAGAAAUAUGUGUUGAAAUCGGGGCCGAAGAUUCGGCCAUCUCCUGGUUGUUGUGCGGUUGUGAAGAAGGUUGAUGUGCCAUGUGUGUGCAAGUUUGUGACAAAGCAGAUUGAAGAAAUUAUAAGCAUUGAGAAGAUGGUUUAUGUGGCCAGGUCAUGUGGCAUAAAGAUUUCUGCUGGGACAAAAUGUGGAAGUAAGUAAAGAACAGUACUCGUGCAAUUAUCAAUAAAUUCUAUUAAGAAUGAUAAUGCACUUCUCAAACAGUAUCUCGACUUUAUUUCUCAUAAGUGAUGCGGCAUCUAUCUGUAAAAUAAUAAUAUGAACUAAUAAGUAAUCUUAUAGGUUCAUGAAAUUGGCAUUCAAUUGAUGGUCAUAUAUCAUCUCAGUAUUUGCGAUGAAUAUACUGAAAACUACUUAGGAAGUGCAGCAUUAUUCUUUCAUUAAUUUUGAUUUACAUUCACACAAAUUGUUAAAGGUCAGUUUUCUUUGUGGUUCUUCGAAGAAAGAAAUUUUAGUUUGUGACUAUGUUAGUUUUUUAUUUCUGUAAUAACACUCGAUCUCUUACUAAAAUUUAUUGAAGAAUGCAAGAGAGAUUUGAGAAAUUUUCUCCUGUAAUGGACGUCAAAUUAAGUCCAAUAUGGUGAAGAAUAAAUUUGCUAAUGCUGUGUUGUAAUUAAUUGUCUUAGGCUUCACUGUCCGAUCUGCUUGAAAAUGGGAGUGCAUGAAUGUCUGAAGCACUGGGAGGCAGCUAGGUUUUGUGACGAGUCUGUUGAUGUUAUAAGAGGCAGGUUUCAUGGUGUUGUGUUAAUGUGCUGAUCGAUUUAUAUUUACUUUCUUAUUCUAUGUUUCUUGAUUUUAAUAAUAAUAAUAAAAAUAAAAAGAGGCAAUUCUAAUCAAUUUCUUACAAAACAACGGAUUAUUUGGUCUUUUGUAUAUAUUUUGUCAAAAUUUAUCAAAGAAGCAUUCCGAUUUCCGAUAAUCCGAUUUGUGCUCUAGAGCAAUUCAAAUUGGCUUUCCAAAUACAGUGCGUGGAUGAGUUUGAAAAUCUAAAAUAAAUAAUAGAAAAAUGAAGAACAAGUAAUCCCAAAUUCAAUUUCAUCCAUUUCAGCCUCUGAUCAUAGAAAAUUCUUGAAGAACGAUCACGGUAAAAAUUUUAUAGAUAAACAAGCAAGAAUCAAAAAAUUAAAUUAAUAAUUUUAUUAAUCUAAAUUACCAAAUUAAUAAAAAAAGAUGAAAAACAAAACCAAAAUUAUUGUUAAAGGGUAUUAGUGUAAAAGCAAACAAAAAGAAAUAAAAAAUAAUCGUAGAGGUAUCAUUAAUUAAACGAGCACCAAUAUCAAAAUAUAGAGGGCAAAUGGAAUUUUACCUCUAAUAAAAUGAACUAUUACCCCAUGCGAUGUUGGAAGAAAAAUAUAAAAUAAUCGAUUAACAUUAUAGUUCAUUUUGUUGUUGUAUCAUUCUUUAGUAUAAAAUAGUCACUUGAACAAAAACCAUAAAAUUUUCCCAAAAAAUAAGAAGUGGGUACGUUUCUAUGCAUGCAUGUAGCUAUGGGAAUUGAAAAUAUAAAAGUUCAAGGGAAAUGAAUAAAUUGCUGGCAAGAGGAAUGUUAUGAUGAACAAACCUUUCAGCAAGCACAGCUGAACCCUCUUCAAACAACUCCUCCACAACCCAACAGCAGCGAGCUUGCUGAUGUUUUUUUCAUAGAAUCCUGAGCUUUCUUCACAAAGAUAAGUGAACUUGUAACCAUAAUUAACCAUAACAGAAUCAUGGUUAUAACAAAGUGGGCUUUAUAGCUUUAAAAAAUAUAAACUGAUGUGAAAAUUUAAGCUUAAUGGUAUACUAAGUUUACUAAAAAAUCUAAACAUUUAAUAUACAUGAAUUAUGGUUUUAAUACACAAAUCAUAAUAAUACAUGGAGAAAAAAUGAACCCAAUGAUUAUAGGAAAAUUAGAAAAAAAAAAUGGAUGAAACUUUUACCGGCAAAGAAAAGAACAAGUAGUCAAGUAGCCAAAACGUUGAGAACCUUCAUGUUGAAGUAUGCUUUGCUAAAAUUUAUAAGGGCUUAGAAUUUUGAGUCAGACUCUGAUGAGGAAAAUGGACAUGGUUCUAAUAGAGGAAAUGGUUGUAAAAAGGAGUCCUUUGUAGCUAGAAAAUACACAUAAAAAAAAAAAAUUGGGGUUAAGAAAUUUUCUUCCCCAUCUUCAAGAGAAUGGAGAGGAGAUUUUACUAUCUCACUGCAGCAUUCAUGGUCAUUGAUGUCACCAGUGAUUGCCAUUUCUUUUUGUUCACUUACGGCAUUAGAUGUGAGUGAAGGUUGCUGAAGUUUCGAGAGGAUAGUGGCAGUGGACGUUGUUGGUUGGUUUGCAUGGGGUUGGAUUUGAGAUGGAGGGUCUGUAUGAGAGUGGUUUGGUUUGAUUCGCGGUGAUGGCAAUUGGACAUCCGGAGGUGGUUCGUUGGUGAAUUUUGGGGGUCGUCUAAAUGAUUUCUUAGGAGGGUUCAAACUCCUGAUAAUUCGUUCAUCGGCAGAGAGGGUGUGGACCGGUGAUGGCUGGUUGCCAUCACCGGCGGCCGGAGAGGCCAUUAAGGCCGCUUAAGGCUUUUUUUUGGGGGGGGGGGGGAGGGGGGAGACGUGGAGAGGUUUUUUUCUACUCCUGCAUUUGCUGCAUGUAUGUCUAAUUGCUUCCAAAAAUCAAAUCUUUAAUGCUUCCAAAAUUGAGCUCUUUUAUGCCCUUUUUAUCCAUAAUCUCAAAUUAAUUCUCUAUUCAAUAAAAUAAUGCAAUUAAUUAAAAAUAAGAAAUAAAAAUAACUAACAAAUAUAUAAUAAAGAGUAAAAUAUGUAUAUAAAUUAUGAACAUCAUGCAUUGACACAGUUUUUACUCUUUGAUUAUUGGAUAUCCCUGACUUUAAGUUCAUCGAGUUCUAAACUAGGGAAAUUUAUACAAAAUGCUAUCAAUGAAAUACACAAAAUUCAGCCUCACGAAAGUUAUACAAAAUGCUAUCAAUGAAAUACAUUCAGGAUUAACAAUCACGUUGAUCAAUCAAAAACUUCCCUUGGUCUAUAAGUUCUGAUAUGGAAAUUUCUUGAACAUCAGGUUUUCCCAAUGGUGAUUUCCCUGAGAGAAAUUCUUGAGAUAUGCACUUCAUUGUAGGUCGAGACUUGGGUUUUGACUGCAAGCAGGCAAAUGCAACAAUUGAAACAAGAAUGAUAUCCUGAACAACCUUUCGAUCAACCGGAGGCGGCAGACGUUGGUCUAAAACAUCGAUCAACCUAAUCUUUCGAUCACAUGAUGAUGACAAAGAUGUAGGAUCUGUUGGAUGACUUCCCAUUAAUACUUCUAGUGCCACUACUCCAAAGCUAUAAACAUCACAUUUCUCUGUCACGGCCAUAGUGUAGGCAAGUUCUACAGCAAAAUUGAACCCAUUGUAAAAUUUAUUUACACAAGUAAAUAACAAUUAAGGAAAAAAAAGAAACAAAGAUUUGAUUCUCUGUUUCUGAGAGCUUCUGCAGAUAAAUAUUUAAGAGAUAUAUUAUUAAAUUUUGCUUACAUUUAGUGUAUAAACAUGGGUAAGAUGCGCGAAAAGAAUAGCGAAAAUUUACCUGGAGCAAUAUAUCCAUAUGUCCCGACCACUAGAGUUCUGUUGGAGGAAUCUGGAUGCAGGAGCCUAGCCAAACCAAAAUCAGCAACAAAUGCCUCUAGGUUUGAAUUAAGUAGAAUGUUAUUGCUGCAUAUGUCGCGGUGGACAAUUGGUGGCUUGCAGUCAUAAUGCAAGUAAGACAAAGCAUGAGCCAUACUCUUUACAAUGUUCACUCUCUUAGUCCAAUCCAGCUCAACAGCUUCAACGUCAUUGCGUAACACACAGAACAAGCUUCCCCGCUCCAUGUACUCAUAGAUCAAAAACAUGCACUUGUUAUGCAAACAAAAACCAUAAAGCUUCACUAUAUUACGAUGCCGUAUUUGGGAUAGUAGACGAGCUUCAGUUUGAAAACUUUCUAGGAAGGCUAGCUCCUCUGUCUCUGAACGGUGAAGUUUCUUCAAAGCGACUACUCUUCCACUAGACAAUUGUGCUCUGUAAACGCUGCCAUAACCUCCAGUUCCAAUGCAAUAUUUGAUGUGGAAAUCCUCUGUCGCUUGAAUCAUCUCUUCAAAUGUAAUUCUACCAUCAUAACUCCAUAUGGAGAACUCAUCAGCCCCCUUGGUCAUUUCUCGGGUAUUAGGACUAAUUUUCUCAUCCCUUCGUCUGUGGACAAACAAGAUUCCAAGAAUUAGGGCAAGAAAUGCGAACAUUGGAAGAACAAUCGUAACCAAGCGAGUGACGAUCUUUUGGUGUUGUUCUUUGUUGCCUUUAAAAUGUUGUGCUUGGUGUGGUGGUGCAUUUUCUGAAAUAACUGGGUUUUCUACCUCUAGAUUAUUUUCUGACCAUUUUAAUCCGGGCACUCUCAAGACAGAUUUGGGGAUAACGCCGGAGAGGUUAUUCUUGGAAAGAUCCACGGCAGAAAUGUUUGGAAUUUUUCCGAGUUGUGAAGGUAUCGUGCCAUUUAUGAAGUUACGGCUUAAAUCAAGUUGUCUCAAAAAUAUAAGGUUGCCUAUCUCCGAUGGAAUGCUUCCGCUUAAACUGUUGUGGGUUAAUACCAAGUUCAGUAACUGCGAGCAAUUCAUGAGUUGUAGAGGGAUGGAGCUGUUGAGCUGAUUGUAACCAAGAUUCAAAGAGGUGAGGUUCGUUAAAUAACCAAUUGUUGAAGGAAUAGGUCCAAUCAGAUUGUUCGUAUCAAGAGAUAGAGAAUCAAGGUUCCUCAGAUUUCCAACUUCUCGAGGCAGCAGACCACUAAGUUGGUUUGAAGAAAGAUCCAGAGAGGUUAAGUUGGUUAAAUUUCCUAUGGUCGGUGGAAUUGGACCAUUAAGUCUGUUGUGAGACAAGUCCAACUUUUCCAACGAGUUUAAAUAACCAAUGGUCGAAGGAAUAGGUCCAGUGAGAUUGUUCCUAUUUAGAAGCAGAGUCUUAAGAUUCUUCAUAUUUCCAACUUCUCUAGGCAGUGGACCGACAAGAUUGUUGUAAGCCAAGUACAAAACUCUUAACUGAUUUAAAUGAUAAAGUGUUGAAGGAAUAGGUCCAGUUAGAUUAUUAUUAUCUAGAUACAGAGAGAAAAGAUUCUUCAGAUUUCCAACUUCUCGAGGCAGCCGACCACUAAGUUUGUUUAGAGAAAGGUCCAAAAUUGUCAGCUUGGUUAAAUUACCUAUGCUCGAUGGGAUUAGACCAUCUAGUUUGUUACCUCGCAGAAUCAGGGAAUGAGGAUUCUUCAAAUUUCCAAUUUCUAAGGGGAUAGCACCAUUG